UGGGCAAAUAAGUUGUUAAAAACCACGAUCUUAAGCUGGUGCCAAAAAGACGACAGAUUUGGCACCAGCUGGGCCACCACAGUGGAACCACUGGUCAAUUUAGCCCGGGAUUACCAGUUGACAGGCAGCAACUUUCUGAGGUGUAGCACAAAAGUAUUUGCUGUUCCUUUUUCUGGAGAGGGUGGGAAUUGAAUCUUCCCAUGUAAAGCAUGUGCUUUCUUGCUGAGCUGCAGUCCAUCUGCACAAGAUCACACUCUUGAGUUAUAAGAUGCUACUCCAUAUCUGAUGCUUACAAAUGACAUGUGACACAGCAACCCUGCAGCUGUCUGUUUUUUAAAUGUGUGGCACUGGAAGCCAUGCUUCUCGUCAGUUGAGGGGAUAAUGCUGGGAACUGGCUCUGAAAUGUAACAAAUCAAUUAAAAAUAAGUUACAGGGGAAGAUAUUUGGAAAGAAGAAGAGGAGAACAAGAAGAUACAGGCUGAAAUAGCAGUCUUGUCAGAGCAGCUUAAUGCUGAUCUUGAACUGUUCAGCCAAAUGGCUAAAAAGCAAAUGGAAAAUCUUCAGAGCAUGCAGACUAAAUGGAAGCAAGUAGAAGAGGAGCAAGACCACUUCUUAGAACAGCAGCAGUCUGUUCAAAAAGAAAUGGAAGAUCUGUUUGCAAUACUGGAUCAAGAAGAUAAUCUCUUGAAUUCCUCAUAGAAAGGACUGGGACUUUCGUGCUGCUUUCUUUCCAUAUGGAACUAAAAUGUAUCUGUUA